rnacentral:tRNA from 1 species
GGGCCAGUGGCGCCAAUGGAUAGCGCGUCUGACUUCACCGGAUCAGAAGAUUCUAGGUUCGACUCCUGGCUGGCUUU